rnacentral:rRNA from 1 species
AUUGAACGCUGGCGGCAGGCCUAACACAUGCAAGUCGAACGAGUGGCGGACGGGUGAGUAAUGUCUGGGAAACUGCCUGAUGGAGGGGGAUAACUACUGGAAACGGUAGCUAAUACCGCAUACCAUCAGAUGUGCCCAGAUGGGAUUAGCUAGGUGGUGGGGUAACGGCUCCCCAAGGCGACGAUCCCUCGCUGGUCUGAGAGGAUGACGAGCCACACUGGAACGGUGACACGGUCCAGACGCCUAGGGGAGGCAGCAGUGGGGAAUAGUGCAGAAUGGGCGCAAGCCUGAGGAAGCCAUGCCGCGUGUAUGAAGAAGGCCUUCUGGUUGUAAAGUACUUUCAGCGGGGAUGCGUUACCCGCAGAAGAAGCACCGGCUAACUCCGUGCCAGCAGCCGCGGUAAUAC